AUGUGAUAAAAUAAUACCCUAAAGCCUAGCCUUCAUCUUUUUCAUUUAUCCUUUCUUCUUGACCGAAAAUAUCAGCCAUAGGAGGGUUUUGGAAGCUUGAAAAAUUUCAGCCACUUAAUCUCCCUACAAAUCAAGAAUUACAAAAUCCAGGCAUAGACCGGGGAAAAGCAAAGUAAGUGGACUAAGCUGAACUAGUCGCCUACAUUUUGUAAUUCGAGUACCGCCUAACUAGCUCGAGGAUCAAUAGACGUCGGAGGCAUCAAUCACACUAUCAGUUGAAGCACUCGGUAUAAUUAGAUUUAUCAUUUUGAAUAUGGCAUGUAUAGGAACUUAGACUUUUGAGUUUUGUGUCAUUGUUAAUUGGCCAAAUGUGAUGACUUACCUUAGCAUUUGAUUCAUUUUGUAUAAGGCCACAGAAAAUGGCUAAUAUUGGAAGUUAUUAUAUGAAUGCAAGAUAGUCUUUCAUGAA